GAAUUCUGCUAGAUUUCUUUUACUUAUCUAUAUUAGGUUAUUGCUUUAACUACUGUUGCAAAUAGUGUCGUGUGUUCUCUCUGUCAGCUGCUAAGACACCUCUUCUCCACGAAGUGUAUGAAUUUGGGGACUGAAGUUCCUUCUACCUUGUCACUCUGCCAACCCUAACCCAUAACUUUUACUCUCUAGUCUAAGAUAUCUACCCCAGCUCCCACCAGCACAUCUGCAUUUUAGCCAAGGGAAAGAAGGAAGGGGAGAACACGUUCCUUUCCCAGAAGGUACAACCUAAGAUCACUUCUCAAAUCCCAUUAGUCAGAACUAUAACUGGGAAGACUGGAUAGUGUAAUCAGCAGCCAGGCAGACAUGUGUCCAACUAAAAUGUAGUGUUCUGUUACUGAAGAAAGAAGAGGAGAAUGGAUAUUGGAGUUACUAGUCUCUGCAAUGUUAUUUC
rnacentral:lncRNA from 1 species